rnacentral:tRNA from 1 species
AAGGAUUUGGCUCAGUUGGUAAAGUGCUUGCCUUGCAAGCAUGAAGACCUGAGUUCAACUCCCCAGAACUCAUA